UACGUAGGGUGCGAGCGUUGUCCGGAAUUAUUGGGCGUAAAGAGCUCGUAGGCGGCUUGUCGCGUCGAAUGUGAAAUCUCAGGGCUCAACUCUGACAUUGCAUUCGAUACGGGCAGGCUCGAGUUCGGUAGGGGAGACUGGAAUUCCUGGUGUAGCGGUGAAAUGCGCAGAUAUCAGGAGGAACACCGGUGGCGAAGGCAGGUCUCUGGGCAUUAACUGACGCUGAGGAGCGAAAGCAUGGGGAGCGAACAGG
rnacentral:rRNA from 1 species